GGCUCACCUAGGCGACGAUCCCUAGCUGGUCUGAGAGGAUGACCAGCCACACUGGAACUGAGACACGGUCCAGACUCCUACGGGAGGCAGCAGUGGGGAAUAUUGCACAAUGGGCGCAAGCCUGAUGCAGCCAUGCCGCGUGUGUGAAGAAGGCCUUCGGGUUGUAAAGCACUUUCAGCGGGGAGGAAGGCGUUAAGGUUAAUAACCUUGGCGAUUGACGUUACCCGCAGAAGAAGCACCGGCUAACUCCGUGCCAGCAGCCGCGGUAAUACGGAGGGUGCAAGCGUUAAUCGGAAUUACUGGGCGUAAAGCGCACGCAGGCGGUCUGUCAAGUCGGAUGUGAAAUCCCCGGGCUCAACCUGGGAACUGCAUUCGAAACUGGCAGGCUAGAGUCUUGUAGAGGGGGGUAGAAUUCCAGGUGUAGCGGUGAAAUGCGUAGAGAUCUGGAGGAAUACCGGUGGCGAAGGCGGCCCCCUGGACAAAGACUGACGCUCAGGUGCGAAAGCGUGGGGAGCAAACAGGAUUAGAUACCCUGGUAGUCCACGCCGUAAACGAUGUCGAUUUGGAGGUUGUGCCCUUGAGGCGUGGCUUCCGGAGCUAACGCGUUAAAUCGACCGCCUGGGGAGUACGGCCGCAAGGUUAAAACUCAAAUGAAUUGACGGGGGCCCGCACAAGCGGUGGAGCAUGUGGUUUAAUUCGAUGCAACGCGAAGAACCUUACCUGGUCUUGACAUCCACAGAACUUUCCAGAGAUGGAUUGGUGCCUUCGGGAACUGUGAGACAGGUGCUGCAUGGCUGUCGUCAGCUCGUGUUGUGAAAUGUUGGGUUAAGUCCCGCAACGAGCGCAACCCUUAUCCUUUGUUGCCAGCGGUUAGGCCGGGAACUCAAAGGAGACUGCCAGUGAUAAACUGGAGGAAGGUGGGGAUGACGUCAAGUCAUCAUGGCCCUUACGACCAGGGCUACACACGUGCUACAAUGGCAUAUACAAAGAGAAGCGACCUCGCGAGAGCAAGCGGACCUCAUAAAGUAUGUCGUAGUCCGGAUUGGAGUCUGCAACUCGACUCCAUGAAGUCGGAAUCGCUAGUAAUCGUAGAUCAGAAUGCUACGGUGAAUACGUUCCCGGGCCUUGUACACACCGCCCGUCACACCAUGGGAGUGGGUUGCAAAAGAAGUAGGUAGCUUAACCUUCGGGAGGGCGCUUACCACUUUGUGAUUCAUGACUGGGGUGAAGUCGUAACAAGGUAACCGUAGGGGAACCUGCGGUUGGAUCACCUCCUUACCUUAAAGAA
rnacentral:rRNA from 1 species